rnacentral:rRNA from 1 species
ACAAGCCCUGGAAACGGGGUCUAAUACCGGAUAUGACACGGGAAUGCAUGUUCCUGUGUGUAAAGCUCCGGCGGUGCAGGAUGAGCCCGCGGCCUAUCAGCUAGUUGGUGGGGUAGAGGCCUACCAAGGCGACGACGGGUAGCCGGCCUGAGAGGGCGACCGGCCACACUGGGACUGAGACACGGCCCAGACUCCUACGGGAGGCAGCAGUGGGGAAUAUUGCACAAUGGGCGAAAGCCUGAUGCAGCGACGCCGCGUGAGGGAUGACGGCCUUCGGGUUGUAAACCUCUUUCAGCAGGGAAGAAGCUUUCGGGUGACGGUACCUGCAGAAGAAGCACCGGCUAACUACGUGCCAGCAGCCGCGGUAAUACGUAGGGUGCGAGCGUUGUCCGGAAUUAUUGGGCGUAAAGAGCUCGUAGGCGGCUUGUCACGUCGGUUGUGAAAGCCCGGGGCUUAACCCCGGGUCUGCAGUCGAUACGGGCAGGCUAGAGUUCGGUAGGGGAGAUCGGAAUUCCUGGUG